UUGGACAUUGCAGCGAGCAGCAUGCCCGGAGAUCUCAGUCAAUGGAUAAUGAAGCACUAUGAUCCGGAGAAGUCACAGAUGGUUAUACCAGAAAGGGGGAAGAUCCCAGUAGAUGCAGCUAGUGUCCAUAGGAUAUGGGGGCUGCCUAACAAGGGGAGGAAGGUGUGCUACGAGAUUCGUCCUGAAAUCACAAAGGAGUUCUACAUGAUCUAA
rnacentral:rRNA from 1 species